GACGAACGCUGGCGGCGUGCUUAACACAUGCAAGUCGAGCGGUAAGGCCCUUCGGGUACACGAGCGGCGAACGGGUGAGUAACACGUGGGUGACCUGCCUCUAGCUCUGGGAUAAGCCUGGGAAACUGGGUCUAAUACCGGAUAUGACUCCACGGCGCAUGUUGUGGGUGGAAAGCCUUGUGUGGCUAGAGAUGGGCCCGCGGCCUAUCAGCUUGUUGGUGGGGUGAUGGCCUACCAAGGCGACGACGGGUAGCCGGCCUGAGAGGGCGACCGGCCGACACUGGGACUGAGACACGGCCCAGACUCCUACGGGAGGCAGCAGUGGGGAAUCUUGCGCAAUGGGCGAAAGCCUGACGCAGCGACGCCGCGUGAGGGAUGACGG
rnacentral:rRNA from 1 species